CGAGAAGUUGGGGCAGAUGAUCUUCUUCAAUUGAUAUUAUUCUUUGAAGACGCUUCCCAUGAGCCAGCCCCCCACCAGCAGCAGGGUCAGACUCUAAUGAAGGAUACCCAUUCAAGCCAAUUGAGUUUCUUCUUUUGGAGACUGGUGGCUUAUCUGAUGAGGAAGUUCAUGCACCCUUUUGAUGAUCUGAACUCAAUGUGUGUUGGCAAGAAGGAGAAAAGCUCCUUGGCUUCAUCUUGCAAUACCUGCAACUGUUGUUGGGCAAUUGCUAGUGCCUGCGAUGUUCUUUCCAGUUCGUUCUGCAGUUCUUGAUUUGUGAGCCUGAGUUUUGUGUUUUCUACUUUUGUUUCUUGUUUGUCGUUGUGCAGGUCUUUAUACUGUCCCUCCAGCUGUGCAAGAAAGAAGAAACAUGCAUAACUAACAAUACUGGUUACAAGGGACUCAUGUCUGCAGUUGUUAUUUUUAACCUCUCUAGCAAACUUGAAUUUAUUCUGCACUUUGGCUUUGCCAUACUGGCUAUUUGUUUGAAUUCCUCUUUGGUGAAUUCUUUUUCCAUUUCUUGUGUAGGUCCCUUUUAAGUCUUAGCUCAACCGAAAGUUUCUUCUAUACAGCCAUAUAAUCCAGAUUAUCAAAGCAGAUAAUCCAGAUCUCCUUUGACACUGUCUACACUGCCAGAUAAUACAGUUCAAAGCAGAUAAUCUGGAUUGCAUAUGAUAGUGUAGAAGGGAUCUUAUACAUCAAUUCUGAUUUCUUUAGCUACCUCCUAUUUUUCUCCUAAUUAUAAAUCUGUGAAAUAUAUCAUUUUUCAGAAACUCCCAUCCACCACAAACCCCUUUCUCAUUUAGCAUUCCUGAUCAUGAAAUCACACACAGUCUUCCCUAAAGUACUGAAUUUUCCCCUAAGUUUACUGAAUUCAGCUUUCUUAAAGUCUUGAAUGCAUGUCUGACUAUGUUUGACUUUGCCUUUCUACUGUAUAAUAAACUUUUCAAUAACAUGAUCA